UAAAUAAGUUAAAACUUUCAACAACGGAUCUCUUGGUUCUGGCAUCGAUGAAGAACGCAGCGAAAUGCGAUAAGUAAUGUGAAUUGCAGAAUUCAGUGAAUCAUCGAAUCUUUGAACGCACAUUGCGCCCAUUAGUAUUCUAGUGGGCAUGCCUGUUCGAGCGUCAUUUCAACCCUU
rnacentral:rRNA from 1 species